rnacentral:rRNA from 1 species
GAAAGUACAUAAGAGCGCUUGGGGGAUGCCUAGGCUCUUGGAGGCUAUGAAGGACGUGGUAAGCUGCGAAAAGCUGCGGGGAUUUGCAAACGAGACUUGAUCCGCAGAUAUCCGAAUGGGACAACCCGGCAGGCGGAAGGCCUGUCACACUGCAAAGUGAGCCAACCCUCUGAACUGAAACAUCUUAGUAGGAGGAGGAAAAGAAAGAAACAUCGAUUACCUAAGUAGCGGCGAGCGAACGGGUAAGAGCCUAAACCGGAAGUGUUACGGCACUUUCGGGGUUGUAGGACUGCAAUAACGUUUUGGACGAAGAACCGGAAGUACCUGGAAAGGUAUGCCGCAGAGAGUGAAAGCCUCGUACGGGCAAUUCGGUUCAAUGCAAGCAGUAUCCUGAGUAGGGCGGGACACGAGGAAUCCUGUCUGAAUCGACCGGGACCACCCGGUAAGGCUAAAUACUACCAAGAGACCGAUAGUGAACCAGUACCGUGAGGGAAAGGUGAAAAGAACCCCGAACAGGGGAGUGAAAAAGAACCUGAAACCAAGUGCUUACAACCUGUCGGAGCCGCUAAGUGCGGUGACGGCGUGCCUAUUGAAUAAUGAGCCUACGAGUUACUAAUCACUAGCGAGGUUAAGUGCUGGGAAGCACGGAGCCGAAGCGAAAGCGAGUCUGAAAAGGGCGGUUAGUUAGUGGUUGUAGACGCGAAACCUUGCGAUCUACCCUUGAGCAGGAUGAAGGUUGGGUAAAACCAACUGGAGGUCCGCACCAAUAAACGUUGAAAAGUUUCUGGAUGACUUGAGGGUAGGGGUGAAAGGCUAAUCAAGCUGGGAAAUAGCUCGUACUCCCCGAAAUGCCUUUAGGGGCAGCGUUGUAAUAAAGAGUCUACUGGAGGUAGAGCUACUGAUUGGAUGCGGGGGCUUCACCGCCUACCAAAUCCUGACAAACUCCGAAUGCCAGUAGUAUGAUUUACAGCAGUGAGCGACCGGGUGCUAAUGUCCGGUCACAAAAGAGGAACAACUCAGACCAGCAACUAAGGUCCCCAAGAAUAUGCUAAGUUGAACUAACGAUGUUUUGUUGCAGAGACAGCUAGGAUGUUAGCUUGGAAGCAGCUAUUCAUUCAAAGAGUGCGUAACAGCUCACUAGUCGAGCGACAGAGCGUGGAUAAUAAACGGGCAUCAAGCAUAUCACCGAAGUUCUGGACACGAAAGUGUGGUAGGGGAGCAUUCCAUCGACGUCGAAGCCGUGCCGUGAGGCGUGGUGGAGUUUAUGGAAAAGCAAAUGUAGGCAUAAGUAACGACAAUGCGGGAGAGUAACCCGCACACCGCAAGACCAAGGUUUCCUGAUCAACGCUAAUCGGAUCAGGGUUAGUCGGGUCCUAAGGGUAAGCCGAAAGGCGAUCUCGAUGGAUAAUCGGUUAAUAUUCCGAUACUGACAUAUAUUUCGAUGGAGAGACGAAGGAACGUAAGUGCCGCCACCUGACGGAAUAGGUGGUUAAAGGAUUUAGGUAUAGGGACGGAUUAAGAGUCGGUUCCUGCUGAAUUCCGACAGUACAGAGAGCCUACGGGCAAUUUGAUAGUGCACCCAAGUCGACUUCCGAGAAAAUCUUCUAAGGCUAGGUAUAUGUCACCCGUACCGUAAACCGACACAGGUGGUCGAGGAGAGUAUCCUAAGGUGCUCGAGUGAAUCACGGUUAAGGAACUAGGCAAAUUAACCCCGUAACUUCGGGAAAAGGGGUCCCACCGCGAGGUGGGCGCAGCGAAGAGGUCCAGGCGACUGUUUAUCAAAAACACAGGGCUCUGCAAAUUCGAAAGAAGAAGUAUAGGGCCUGACACCUGCCCGGUGCUGGAAGGUUAAGAGGGGAUGUCAUCGCAAGAGAAGCAUUGAAUCGAAGCCCCAGUAAACGGCGGCCGUAACUAUAACGGUCCUAAGGUAGCGAAAUUCCUUGUCGGGUAAGUUCCGACCCGCACGAAUGGCGUAACGACUUGUGAGCUGUCUCAACAGGAGGCCCGGUGAAAUUGAAGUAUGUGUGAAGAUGCACAUUACCCGCGACUGGACGGAAAGACCCCGUAGAGCUUUACUGUAACCUGACAUUGGAUCUUGAUAACGGAUGCACAGGAUAGGUGGGACGCUGGGAGGUAUGGACUUUGGUCUGUACGGAGCGGACGUUGGGAUACCACUCUUCUGUUAUUGAGAUUCUAACCUCAAGCCGUAAGCCGGAUGAGAGACAGUGUCAGGCGGACAGUUUGACUGGGGCGGUCGCCUCCGAAAGAGUAACGGAGGCGCCCAAAGGU